rnacentral:rRNA from 1 species
CAAGUCGAGGGGCAGCAUGGUCUUAGCUUGCUAAGGCUGAUGGCGACCGGCGCACGGGUGAGUAACACGUAUCCAACCUGCCGUCUACUCUUGGCCCAGCCUUCUGAAAGGAAGAUUAAUCCAGGAUGGGAUCAUGAGUUCACAUGUCCGCAUGAUUAAAGGUAUUUUCCGGUAGACGAUGGGGAUGCGUUCCAUUAGAUAGUAGGCGGGGUAACGGCCCACCUAGUCAACGAUGGAUAGGGGUUCUGAGAGGAAGGUCCCCCACAUUGGAACUGAGACACGGUCCAAACUCCUACGGGAGGCAGCAGUGAGGAAUAUUGGUCAAUGGGCGAUGGCCUGAACCAGCCAAGUAGCGUGAAGGAUGACUGCCCUAUGGGUUGUAAACUUCUUUUAUAAAGGAAUAAAGUCGGGUAUGCAUACCCGUUUGCAUGUACUUUAUGAAUAAGGAUCGGCUAACUCCGUGCCAGCAGCCGCGGUAAUACGGAGGAUCCGAGCGUUAUCCGGAUUUAUUGGGUUUAAAGGGAGCGUAGAUGGAUGUUUAAGUCAGUUGUGAAAGUUUGCGGCUCAACCGUAAAAUUGCAGUUGAUACUGGAUGUCUUGAGUGCAGUUGAGGCAGGCGGAAUUCGUGGUGUAGCGGUGAAAUGCUUAGAUAUCACGAAGAACUCCGAUUGCGAAGGCAGCCUGCUAAGCU